CGGACGGGUGAGUAACGCGUGGGUAACCGUGCCUGUACAGGGGGAUAACAGCUGGAAACGGCUGCUAAUACCGCAUAAGCGCACGAGGAGACAUCUCCUUGUGUGAAAAACUCCGGUGGUACAGGAUGGGCCCGCGUCUGAUUAGCUGGUUGGCAGGGUAACGGCCUACCAAGGCAACGAUCAGUAGCCGGUCUGAGAGGAUGAACGGCCACAUUGGAACUGAGACACGGUCCAA
rnacentral:rRNA from 1 species